AUGAAACAUCAUUUCAGCAAUUAUUUAAAUUAAAAAGUCAAUCAAAAUCCUCUUCUUUGUCUCGGGCCAAAUCCGGCCCAUUCCCUUCCUUCCUCUCUCUUCCGCCGGCCCAACCCGAGCCUGCAUCCUCUCUUCCUCUCUCUGCCGAAGUUCUAUUUGCUUCCCUCCUUCAAUCGGGCCGAGGAAAUGAAGCCCGGCAAGAAGUCUGUUUUGCCUCCCUCUGCUACAGUGUCGCCCCUAACCUCCAGCCGGCUGAUCUCCUCCCUGCCGUGCCCGUGUACAGCGCCGCCUCCCCACCAAAUUCGUCCUCUCCGUUGCUCCUCUUUCCAAAUUAAUUGUGGGAAUGGAAUCCUCUCAAUCUCCUCUUCCUUUCCCCCAAGAAAUACCGAAAAGUUUAUAUGGAAAUUCUUUCCAAUUUCGCGGAUCGAACCCUACCUAAUCUGUCGCCGAUUCCAUCCGUUCCCGAGCCGAUCUCUCCCUCUUCCGGCUAUAAAUAGCAGCCCCUCGGCCUCCUCUUCCGUUUCCCCUCUUUUUCCUGAGCCGCCGUGCCCUAGCCGCCUCUCCCCACGCUAGCUUCUCUCUCCUAAGCCGGCCACCGCUCCAGCCACGUCGCGCCGCCUCCUCGGUCGACCCCGACCUGCGCCGUCGCCUCCCUCGGCUUCGCAAGGGUGAGAGCUACCCCGGCCACCCGUUCCCUUGCGCCGAAUCUCGCCGGAAUCCGCUCGCCGACGCGAACCCGACGCUUUCGGUCUUUGCCACGCCUCCAGCAACCAUCCAUCGUCGACUCCGUGGUCGCCGGACCUCGCCGUAUCCACUGUUGGCAUCGCAGCAGUGAGGAGAAGCCCGGCAGCCACCUCCGCGAAGACGCAAGCCAUCGGAGCACCGUCGUCACCGUGAAGCCGAUUUGUUCCAUCUUCAGCCGCGCCGUUCGUCGCCGUCCAUCGCCGCCUUCGUUCACCGUCGCCACCCUCGGGAUCGCAGGAGCGAGGUGAAGACCGUCCGCCCCUCGGUUGCUGCCUCUCGUCGCCGGAAAGCCGUCGCCAUCGUCAACCCAAGGUCGCUGCCUUUGGAGCUCGUCGCCUGCCAUCUCCCUCGCCGUCUGUCGUCACGUAUGUGGUGGCUUGGGGAAAGAACUUCAGGGUGUGACACUAUAUCAAGUGAUGAGGACAUCAAUACCGCCGAUACAUCCACGCUAACACAAGUCCAAGUUCAUGGUCCUAUUAUCCGUGCUCGCGCACGUCAACUCAACUAUCAGGAAUGAUGGAGAGGAUCAAAAGCAGAGUGGAUUCGCGUGGGCUGGAUUCGGACUGCAGAACAGCACCAACUUGUGACGAUCACCGUGACUUCAUGCGGACUCCAUUUUGAGCGUGCAAGUAUUUCAUAGAAAGCUUAUCAAGUCUACUUUUAAAUGGAUCUGGCCUCAUGUCCAUAUCUGUUCUGCAGAGGCUGCAAUUGUCAUUUUACUACAGAUACCUUUUUCUGUCCAUGGUGCCGCGUCACCUUAUUUGGGUCCAAUGUGCUGUUUAUCAAGUUGAGUCCGUUAAGGGCGCGUCUUAGGGUUAGAGGACGACCUCAACUUGUCCUCCCCCCUAUAUACCCUUAGCUAUCACACAUAAAUUCCGGUUUUGUUUAGAUCAAAGUUUUGCUUUGCUACUUUGCCAUGUAAUCCCGUGAUCGUGUAGAUCACCGGUUUGCUCGUUACGGAAACCCACCUGUGAUAUUUUUGUUGAUUCAAUCUUACAUCUUUAAUUUGCCAAUUG